GCCCUAGGGCUAGUGGAAGACUUAAGAUGGCGGCGUUUGCACGGAGUGCAAUCACUGCGUCCUUACGGGGGUUGCAAGGCGUCCGAAGUAUGAGUCCAGUAACAAAAGGCCAGAAACUCGCCAGUUAAUAGUAUUGUGUCUCUUCAAAAUAUCGGAGAAUAAUUUCUUUCUCGCUGAUCGCCUAACUUCUACUGACGAAGCUAGGAAGUUGCAGAAGAUGGAGUUCGCUCUUGUUGCCCAGGCUGGAAUGCAAUGGCAUGACCUUGGCUCACUGCAACCUCUGCCUCCCCAGUUCAAGUGAUUCUCCUGCCUCAGCCUCCCGAGUAGCUGGGAUUAUAGAAACCACAAUAAAGGCUCUCGCCCACAUUCUUCCCUCACCCUCUGCCUCCUGACUGACACUGGUGCUUUCCUGGGUGAACCCUGACGGUGUGGCAUGCCUCUUCUUGUGAUCUAUUGUUCACUGUUGGCAUAUAGAAACACUACUGAUGCCUCAGAGAUGACCAUGAUGGUGUUCUGGUGUCAGCAGAAUAGCAAUGCCUGGGAGUCCACCACCACCAUAAUCUCCUGUGAUCCCACGGAGCUGCAGUCAGAAGGGAGCAAUGACAAGAAAUAAGUGCUGAGCAGUUGUCAUAUGGUGCUGGAAGACAUGCUACUUUUCCCUGAGGGUGGAAGACAGCCUGAUGACGGUGGUACAAUCAAUGACAUCUCUGUACUGGGAGUGACCCACUCAGGGGCCCAGGCUGAUCAUUUCACACAGACACCCCUGGAUCCUGGAAGCCAAGUCCUGGUCUGGGUAGACUGGGAGUGGAGGUUUGACCACAUGCAGCAGCAUUAAAGGCAGCAUCUCAUCACAGCAGUUGCUGAUUAUCUGUUUGAGUUAAAGACAACAUCAUGGGAGUUAGGGAAAUUUCGGAGUGUGAUGCUGGAAAGCCCCUCUGUGAAUGCAGAGAAAAUAACCGCCACUGAAAAGAGUGUCAAUAAAAAUAUCAGAGAUCAGCUGCUCAACAAAGUAUGAGAACUGAGCCUGAAUGAUCCUGAGGCGGAGCAGGUGAGAGGCUGGGGCCUGCCAGAUGAUCAUGCUGGGCCCAUUGGAAUUGUUACCAUCAAGGGUGUUGAUUCCAACAUGUGCUGUGGGAUCCCCAUGAGCAAUCUCCGUGACUUUCCAGUCAUUAAGAUUAGGCACCGAGAAGAGGAAAAGGAAUAAAAUCAAACUGAUAUUUCUGGCUGGGAACCAGAUGCUGAAAUGGAUGAAGAGAAGUCAUGAAACUGAAAGAGCACUGAAUCACUCUGCUUAAGUGUGGAGCAGAGGAUCACAUGGAAGCAGUGAAAAAGCUCCAGAACGUGGCCAGGCGUGGUGGCUACUGCCUGUAAUCCCAGCACUUUGGGAGGCCGAGGCGGGCAGAUCACGAGGUCAGGAAAUCGAGACCAUCCUGGAUAACACGGUGAAACCCCGUCUCUACUAAAAAUAUAAAAAAUUAGCUGGGCGUGUGGCGGGCGCCUGUAGUCCUAGCUACUUGGGAGGCUGAGGCAGGAGAAUGGCGUGAACCCAGGAGGUGGAACUUGCAGUGAGCUGAGAUCACGCCACUGCACUCCAGCCUGGGCGACAGAGCGAGACUCUGUCUCUAAAUAAAUACUCUGUCUCUAAAUAAAUAAAUAAAUAAAUAAAUAAAUAAAUAAAUAAAAUAAAAUAAAAUAAA
rnacentral:lncRNA from 1 species